GACGUAGGGCGCGAGCGUUGUCCGGAUUUAUUGGGCGUAAAGAGCUCGUAGGCGGCUUGUUGCGUCGACCGUGAAAACCCGGGGCUCAACUUCGGGCUUGCGGUCGAUACGGGCGGGCUAGAGUUCGGUAGGGGAGACUGGAAUUCCUGGUGUAGCGGUGAAAUGCGCAGAUAUCGGGAGGAACACCGGUGGCGAAGGCGGCUCACUGGCUCGGUACUGACGCUGAGGUGCGAAAGCGUGGGGAGCAAACAGG
rnacentral:rRNA from 1 species